UCUCUCUCACUCACUUAUUGUAUAUUAAUUGAGAGGACUCGUGUCCUGAUCGAAGCUGACGGGAACACAACUACUAUUGGUUGGUAGCUCCUCAUGUUGGAUUGCAAACAGUCCCAGGCUUGAGCUCCUCCUUUGGUGAUUUUAUUUUCUUUUUUCCCUCAUGGUCGAGCUGUCACAUUGUUUGGUGCAGGUUUUUCCAAAUUUUAACUACAAAUUUUCAUUUAUUCAUUGUGAACUGAAGGUUGUUCUGAUCAAAUUUAUCAGUGACACCUUGCUGUCCUGGGUGACAUUUUUUGUCAAUUAGUAGCAUUUCAGCAUUGAUGUCCUGAAGUAUUCAUGUUGUGGAAGGAGAUAAAUCUGAGCUUUAUUAUGAGCUAUACCUUGGGUUUUCUGCUGAUAAAUGUAUAGAAAGAGAAUAUAGUUGAAUCUCUGAGUACAUUAUGUCGAGAGUGGCAAUGUGAACAUUACAAGUCUUGCUACUAUUUUAAUUACGAAGGUGUUGUUACCUGUUACCAAGAUGCAAGCAUACAAAUAAGCUCCUUACUUCUUACGGUAUACUUAUCAUAGUUGCUUCCUUUGAUUUACAGGCAUAUCAACUCCAGAAGAUGUGCACAACGAAGUUAAGGUAACAAGCAUCCUGAAAACUAACUUUUGGUGACACUUGCUACAAAGCCGGGUAUGCAAGAAGGAAGAUGUUUCAUCAUGUUGACCACUAUAGAUUUGAAGUCCAGUUCUGGAGCACUUGAACAUGCGAGGUACCAUGCUCUUUUCAGGAUCUUUGGAUCUUGGAGACAUAUACAGGUCAUAUUGACUACGUAUUUCCUUACAAUUACAAAUGUACCAUACUUGUUGUAAGAUGAACUUCUGGACAAUAUGGCACAUAUAUGAAUUAUGAAGGUUUUUUUGAAAGAUAUGGCAAUAAAUAAUGAUUGCCUAACUUGUUGUCCACAUAAUUUAUGUCACUUCAUACCUAACCAGACCAUUUAUUUCUAAGAUAAGAAAUCUGUGACUAAUCCAACCACUACAGAUUUCUUAUUGUCGAGGUUGGUCCUGGACCAAUUCAUUACUCCGUGAGCAAUUCAUUACACCAUUUAUUGCAUGCUUAAAAUUUCAAUGAGAGGCUAAAUAAGUCGUGUAUCAAAUACUUCUGUUUUCAGAUAUUGUAGAACACUUCUUAUGUACAGUCUGUUUUAACAAGUCCGUCCAGCUCUAGCCUUGUAAAAGUAGGCCAAAAUCAUAUUUCUAAGACUUCUAAGGGAUGGCAUUUUAGUUCAUGUUUCAUAUGCUUUUAGAUAAUUUUCAACUGCGUGCAUUAUGUAUUAAGUGGUACUGCAUAAACUGGUUCAUGUUGUAUCUGAAAGAGUUCUGUAUAAGCCUAAUAACUUUUGCUGUUUGGUUUUCUAGGUGCUUUCGUUAUAUGCACACUUCCUUUCAUGGUCCAAUCUUGGAUAUUACUUGAGUAUCUUAGUGUCAUGUGGAAGAAUGUCCAACUUAGGGGCAGCCAUGUGGAAGGAUGUCCAACUUAGGCGCAGUCAGGUGAAUAGUGAACAUGCUGAUUGUCAAUUAUACAAAUCAACCCAAACUCCAAUAAACUACUCCAUCCCAAAUUACUUGUCUUAGAUUUGUCUAGAUACAAAUCUACGACAUGUAAUUUGGGACGGAGGUUGUAUUUAAUUAGUGAUAUAUAUUUGCCACAAUUUAUUUUGGGACUAUAGUUUUGGAACUUCCGACCAUUCUAUCAUCAAAAUUGACGAACGGAGCAACGCGCGUCAUCAACGAUCUAGUUUUAUUGAAAACUGGUCGGACUUGAGUGAAAUCCAAAUGUCAAUUUUGGAGAAACGCCCGGGACCCAUCCCAGCCCGGCGUGGCCCAGCAACCUGACUAGCCUCCAACGCUGCCCGUUCCGGCUCCCCACUCUCCGGUUCCAGUUCCAUCCCCAUCAGCUGCACUCGAAACGACGGCAGAACCCCUAAAUUCCCCAUCCCAGAUGCCCAGCACUCUCCGCCUGUCCAAUCUCCACACAUGAGGAAGAAGAAGGCGGCGGCGACGGCGCCUGUACCCGCGGCUGCCAAGACGAGAGCGGUGGCAGCGGCCGUAGCCGAGGCCAAGAAGAAGGCGACGGCGGCAGAUGUUGCCAAGAAGAAGAAGACGGUGCCCGCAGCCAAGAAGAAGAAGGCGACGGCGGCACCUGCAGCCAAGAAGCGCGCAUCCGGUGGAACGGACGGGUGCAGGCCACGGAAACGGGCACGGGAUGACAACUGCGACGGCGAUCUCAUCAGCAACCUUCCGGAGGCCGUCCUCUGCACCAUCAUCUCCCUCCUCCCCACCAAGGACGGCGCUCGCACGCAGGCCAUCGCCCGCCGAUGGCGCCCCCUCUGGCGCUCCGCGCCUCUCAACAUCGACGCCCAGAAUCUCAGGACCGGCCGCAGUUUGCCCCUUCGCUGUAAAAAGAAGAACCUCAGCACCAAUAAUUUUCAGCCGUCGUGCCGCUGCCGAGGGCCUCGACCACCGACGGACUCCAUCGUUUCCAGGAUCCUCUCCGACCACCUUGGCCCCGCUCGCUGCUUCGACUUCCGCUUAACCUGCAUCUGCCCGAAAAAAGAAGGGCACGCCCAGAAAAUUGCUCAGAUUGAGAGCUGGUUCCACUCUCGAAGCCCGCACAACCUUCAGGAGCUACAUAUCUUCUUCCCGAUCUUGUGUCGAGCAGCUCGAUACUCCUUGCCAUCAUCCGUGCUCCGCUUCGCAUCGACUGUCGUUGUGGCUACAAUCGGCCACUGCGAUGUCCCAAAAGAGAUCGCUCCUUUACUGAAUUUCCCCCUCCUCAAGCAUCUCACCCUACGGAGCGUUUCCAUGUCAGAGGAUGUCUUCCCUCGGGCGAUCUCCUCCUGCCAUGUGUUGGAGACCCUAUAUCUGCAGGGAAAUGCUUAUAGUGGUCCCUCCACAUUAGCUCGCCAACUCUUAGGAGCAUCGCCUUCAGUCAUUGUUAUGUUGGCAAACAAGAAUUGGUUAUUGAGGACACCCCUCGCCUUCAAAGGCUGCUUUGUCCAUGCUCAGAUAGUUUGAAUAUCCGGGUAAAUAAGGCAGCACCUAAACUGGAGAUAUUUGGCCCUUUGUCACCCCGCACCUCCAAUAUUCAGAUUGCAAAGCUAAUCUUUCAGGGGUUGGUUCCAACCAGCUUGAACAGUUCGAUAUGCACAGUGAAGGUUUUGGCUCUCCAGUUUGCUUGCACUGAUUUGAAUGCAGUUCUUGACGUCCUCAGGUUUUUCCCCUGCUUGGAAAUACUUUAUGUUAUGUGGAACAAAUACUUGAAAGCAGAGAUGAACAAUGUGCGUCAUUGUGAUCCAAUAACUCCAAUCAAAUGCCUUGAGACCCAUCUAAAAAAACUAGUGUUGAAGAAUUACACAGGCGACGAGCAAGAUGUUAGCUUUGCCAAGUUCUUUGUUCUG